GCACAAGCAGCGGAGCAUGUGGUUUAAUUCGAAGCAACGCGAAGAACCUUACCAAGACUUGACAUCCCCUGACAGUCUGUUGAAAGGCAGUGUCUCGUUCGGAGCAGGGAGACAGGUGGUGCAUGGUUGUCGUCAGCUCGUGUCGUGAGAUGUUGGGUUAAGUCCCGCAACGAGCGCAACCCUUAUCCUUAGUUACCAGCACGUAAGUGGGGACUCUAGGGAGACCGCCGGGGACGACUCGGAGGAAGGUGGGGACGACGUCAAAUCAUCAUGCCCCUUAUGUCUUGGGCUACACACGUGCUACAAUGGCCGCAACAGAGGGAAGCGAGAGCGCAAGCUGGAGCAAACCCUAAAAAGCGGUCCCAGUUCGGAUUGUGGGCUGCAACCCGCCCACAUGAAGUCGGAGUUGCUAGUAAUCGCGAAUCAGCAUGUCGCGGUGAAUGCGUUCCCGGGUCUU
rnacentral:rRNA from 1 species